rnacentral:rRNA from 1 species
GACGAACGCUGGCGGCGUGCUUAACACAUGCAAGUCGAACGGAAAGGCCCUGCUUGCCGGGUACUCGAGUGGCGAACGGGUGAGUAACACGUGGGUGAUCUGCCCUGCACUUCGGGAUAAGCCUGGGAAACUGGGUCUAAUACCGGAUAGUAGUCAUUUUUAGUGUGAUGGUUGGAAGGUUUUUUCGGUGUAGGAUGAGCUGGCGGCCUAUCAGCUUGUUGGUGGGGUAAUGGCCUACCAAGGCGGCGACGGGUAGCCGGCCUGAGAGGGUGGAAGGCCACAUUGGGACCGAGGGGCGGCCCAGGCUCCGACGGGAGGCAGAAGGGGGGAAGCUUGCACAAUGGGCGCAGGCCGGAUGCAGAAGGGCCGCGGGGGGGAUGACGGCCUUAGGGUUGAAGAAGCCUUGCGCUAGGGACGAAGCUUGUUGUGACGGUACCUAGAGAAGAAGCACCGGCUAACUACGUG